CCUACGGGAGGCAGCAGUGGGGAAUUUUGGACAAUGGGGGCAACCCUGAUCCAGCCAUGCCGCGUGAGUGAAGAAGGCCUUCGGGUUGUAAAGCUCUUUCAGCAAGGGAAGAAAACGUUAUGAUCGAAUAAUCCAUGUGAUGACGGUACCUUGAUAAGAAGCACCGGCUAACUACGUGCCAGCAGCCGCGGUAAUACGUAGGGUGCGAGCGUUAAU
rnacentral:rRNA from 1 species